GGGAUGCUGACGGGGAAACGACAGCUAGUAGAAUCUAUCAGCUGGGAGUCGUUACACGUCCUCUAUCUCACUUCCCCUUUUACCAUUUCAUCGGAAUCCCGGCCAUUUGAAUAGUAAAAUAGGCAUUCAUUCAUUCAACCAUUCAUUCAUUCAUUCAUUCAUUCAUUCAUUCAUUCAUUCAUUCAUUCAUCCAUUCAUUCCGUAGCCUCCACAGUUCUGUUCCAGAGUGAGAGCUCUCUGACUGUUGGGGAAACAAUCCGAAAGUCACUGAAGGCUUUCCAUACGCUGUAGAUGGUGCAUAGUAGGUAGGGGUUAGAUAGUACCGAGACAGUCAUUAAGGAGCAGGUAGGGGUUAGACAGUACAGAGACAGGUCAUUAAGGAGCAGGUAGGGGUUAGACAGUACAGAGACAGGUCAUUAAGGAGCAGGUAGGGGUUAGACAGUACAGAGACAGGUCAUUAAGGAGCAAGUAGGGGUUAGACAGUACAGAGACAGCUCAUUGAGGAGCAGGUAGGGGUUAGACAGUACAGAGAC
ensembl:lncRNA